rnacentral:lncRNA from 1 species
UUCAUGACAGACACACACACAGAGAGAGAGAGAGAGAGAGGCAGAGACACAGGCAGAGCGGAGAAGCAGGCUCCAUGCAGGGAGCCUGAAUCAGGCCCUACCUGGACUGAAGGCAGUGCUAAAUCGCUGAGCCACCCGGGCUGCCCUCUCUGAUUUUUGACACUUUGUGAUGCAUCUAAGUGCAAAUAUCUUCGCGUUUGAUUUGUUGUUGUUGUUUAGAGAGGAAUAUGGGGGCAGAAAGAGAGACAAUUUUUUAAAAAGAUUUUAUUUAUUCAUUCAUGAGAGACACAGAGAGAGAGGCAGAGACACAGGCAGAGGGAGAAGCAGGCUCCAUGCAGGAAGCCUGCUGUGGGACUUGAUCCUGGAACUCCAGGAUCAUGCCCUGAGCCAAAGGCAGAUGCUCGACUGCUGAGCCACCCAGGUGUCCUGAAGAGAGACAGUCUUAUCAGGCUCCAUGCCCAGUGCAGAGCCCAAUGGGGGUUCAAUCUCACAACCCUGAGAUCAUGACCUGAGCUGACAUCAAGAGUCAGAUGGUUAACCAACUGAGCCACCCAGGUGCCCCUCUUUGAGUUUUUAAUAUUAGAGACGUAUAAUUGACAUAUAACAUGUAUUUAGUUUCAGGUGUAUGACAUAAUCAUUCAAAUUUGUAUAUAUUACAGAAUGAUCAUCACAAUCAGUCUAGUUAACAUCCAUCACCAUACAGUUACAAUUUUUUUCUUGUGAUGAGAAAUUUUAAGAUCUACUCUCUUCACAUCUUUCAAAUAUGCAACACCAUAAUAUUAACUAUAGUUACCAUAUUGUACCUUAUAUCUGCAUAACUUAUUUAUUUUACAACUGGAGGUUUCUACAUUUUUAAAAAAGAUUUUAUUUUGUUUUAUUAUUUUUAAUUUUAUUUUUUUUAAGUAGGCUCCAUGCCCAAUGUGGAGCCCAGUGCAAGGCUUGAACUAAUGACCCUGAGAUCAAGACCUGAGCUGAGAUCAAGAGUCAGAUGCUUGGGGUGCCUGCGUGGCUCAGUCAACUCAGUGUCCAGCUCCUGAUUUCAGCUGGGAUCUUGAGUUCAAGCCAUCUGCAUCACCCUUACCCAUUUUACCACUCCCCUAAUCCCCACCUCUAGAGACUACCAAUCUUAGCUCAGUUUUGUUUUUGUUUUUAUUUUUUAGAUUCCACAUAUAAGUAAGAUCAUACAAUAUUUGUCAUUCUCUGACUUAUUUCACUUAGCAUAAUGUCCUCAGUCUACUUAUGUUGUCUCAAAUGGCAAGAUUUCUUCCUUAUUUAUGGCUGAAUAAUAUAAGAUUCUGGGGUGUGUGUGUGUGUGUGUGUGUGUGUGUGUGUCUGUGUGUAGCAUAUGUUUUUAAAAGUUAACUUACCUGUCAAUGUUUGCUUCCAUGUUUUGGCUAUGUUAAUAAUGCUGCAGUGAACAUUGAGGGUACAUAUACUUUUGAGUUAGUAUUUUAGUUUUCUUCAGAAAAAUGUCCUGAAGUGGAAUUACUGGAUCAUAUGGUAGUUCUAUUUUUAAUUCUUUAAGGAACCUCCAUACUGUUUACAUAGUGGCUGUACCAAUUUACAUUCUCACCAACAGUGCAUAGGGUUCCUUUCCUCCACAUUCUUCAACACUUAUUAUUUCUGGUCUUUUUGAUAAUCAUUCUAACAGGUAUGAGGUGAUACCUCAUUGGAGUUUUGAUUUGCAUUUUUCUGAUAGUUAGUGAUGUUGACACCUUUGCAUGUAUCUGUAUGUCUUUGAAAAACUAUCUGGUCUGAUCUGUCCAUUUUGUAAUCAGACUGCUUUGGGGUUUUUGCUACUGA